GACGAACGCUGGCGGCGUGCCUAAUACAUGCAAGUCGAACGGUUUAGUUCCAAGAGGCUUGCCUUUUGGAACUAGACAGUGGCGGACGGGUGAGUAACACGUAGGCAACCUACCUGUCAAACCGGGAUAACCUCGGGAAACCGAAGCUAAACCCGGAUAAGCUCCUUUUUCGCAUGAAGGGGGAGUGAAAAGGUGCGACCUGAUGACAGAUGGGCCUGCGGCGCAUUAGCUAGUAGGUAGGGUAACGGCCUACCUAGGCGAUGAUGCGUAGCCGACCUGAGAGGGCGUACGGCCACACUGGGACUGGGAUACGGCCCAGACUCCUACGGGCGGCAGCAGUAGGGAAUCUUCGGCAAUGGGCGAAAGCCUGACCGAGCAACGCCGCGUGAGUGAGGAAGGCCUUCGGGUUGUAAAACUCUGUUGUUUGGGAAGAAGGGAAAGGGUAGGACCCUUAGGUGACGGUACCAAACGAGAAAGCCCCGGCUAACUACGUG
rnacentral:rRNA from 1 species